CUCAUGAGAGUUUAUUUUCAUGGUAGUAAAUAUUUCUUCUGUCUGAUGCUUCUAGUGACUCUUCAGAAGCCAGACCAUGUUGAAUUUUCUUCCUUGGGCACUGUUUUAACCUCCAAGAUCCUUCCAGUAUUUUUCUUCCAGAGAUACCACUCACUUGUUCAGCUCCUUGGGUGUAUCAGUACUAUGAGGCUUUCAUGGUGCAAGGUGUGACCAUGCCUCCAUCCCAGUCAGGAAGUUCCUGAAGCUGCCAGGCAAGGGAUCAGAAGAGCUCCUGUGCAUCCAGAGCAGACACUGUGUUGUCUCCCAUGGCAGCACUUGCCCAUGGAAAGGCCAGAGGCGGGGAUCUGCCACAAGAAACUCUUGGGCAGCGUGAGAGCCUAAAAUAGAGCAGCAGUCCAGAAGGAUGGUGUGUGUGCUCCUUGUUUGAGCCAGGAUAAAAAUGUCUAAAUGUGUUUUUCCUCUUGCCAAGCGUUCACGAUGAUGGUGGAGCAGUGUUAUGCCAUGAGGCCAGCGUCAAGCAAGCUGUGUGGGCAGAACAGACCUAGUGGACAUAGUUUCUACGGAUGCAGGCAUCUAUUUGAGCAAGCUUUCAGGCACAACAAACUGUCACAUAAGAUUUCCAUGAUGAGCGGGCAUGAAAUUCAAAUUAUGGGCAACUACUGCUUUCCACUCUGCUGACAAUUUAUUGGGAAUCACACUGAGUCUGUGCUGCAGGCCACUGCUUUAGCUUAACAUGAUCUGACAGACAGUGCCCAGCGCCGUGCAUCAUAACACAAAGCAUCUCACAGCACAUCUGAAGAGUGGAAAGGAAGGGGUGAUCCUGGGGAUAGAAUGCUUCUUAAAUGUUUUUCAGGGCAAGAAGGGUCUUUGUGCUCUAAAAUGUUGGAUGGAGGUAUCUAGCUCUGAUUGCUUUCCAAA
rnacentral:lncRNA from 1 species